CGUAAAGCGGAAAUGCAACACAAACAGAACCCGACACAGCUCACACUAGACGACAUACAAAACAUCAGACAUGCGCUGAAGAAUCUCCUCUUGGAUGAGGUAAGCAGAGAUAUCACCCGAUCGAGAAGACUUUUUUACGAAAAGUCCAAUAAAAUGGAUAAGUUAUUAGCUAGAGCCCUCAGACCCAAACAAAAACACAAACACAUCACAUCCAUCACCAACGAACAGGGCCAACCC